rnacentral:rRNA from 1 species
AGAGUUUGAUCCUGGCUCAGGAUGAACGCUAGCGGCAGGCUUAACACAUGCAAGUCGAGGGGUAGAUUUUCUUCGGAGAAUUGAGACCGGCGCACGGGUGCGUAACGCGUAUGCAACUUACCUUAUACUGGGGGAUAGCCCGGAGAAAUUCGGAUUAAUACCGCAUAUGCUCACAGUUUCGCAUGGAACAGUGAGGAAAGAUUUAUCGGUAUAAGAUAGGCAUGCGUCCUAUUAGCUUGUUGGUGAGGUAACGGCUCACCAAGGCGAUGAUAGGUAGGGGGCCUGAGAGGGUGGUCCCCCACACUGGUACUGAGACACGGACCAGACUCCUACGGGAGGCAGCAGUGAGGAAUAUUGGGCAAUGGAGGCAACUCUGACCCAGCUAUGCCGCGUGAAGGAUGAAGGUCCUCUGGAUUGUAAACUUCUUUUGUAUGGGGAUAAACUUUUCUACGUGUAGAAAACUGAAGGUACCAUACGAAUAAGGAUCGGCUAACUCCGUGCCAGCAGCCGCGGUAAUACGGAGGAUCCAAGCGUUAUCCGGAUUUCUUGGGUUUAAAGGGUCCA